AGAAAUGUAGCUCAGUGGUAGAGUGCUUGCCUAGCAUGCACAAAGCCCUGGGUUCAAUCCCAACAUAUAUC
rnacentral:tRNA from 1 species